UCCGUAGGUGAACCUGCGGAAGGAUCAUUACACUCAGUAGAUUUCUACUGUUAAGGAGAGCGGAACGCUUCCUGAGUCGCUUCCGGCGGCUUGGAUGCAGCAAGUACGUGCCUUAAACCCUUGUCUUUUUGCGUACCCAUGUUUCCUCGGCGGGCUUGCCCGCCGGCUGGACACUUUAAAACCCUUUUUAAUUUUCAAUCAGCGUCUGAAUAAUUAUAAUAAUUACAACUUUCAACAACGGAUCUCUUGGUUCUGGCAUCGAUGAAGAACGCAGCGAAAUGCGAUAAGUAGUGUGAAUUGCAGAAUUCAGUGAAUCAUCGAAUCUUUGAACGCACAUUGCGCCCCUUGGUAUUCCAUGGGGCAUGCUUGUUCGAGCGUCAUUUGUACUCUCAAGCUUUGCUUGGUGUUGGGUGCUUGUCCUUCCCCUGCGGUUGGACUCACCUUAAAUUCAUUGGCAGCCGAUAUAUUGGUCUUGAAGCGCAGCACAAUUUGCGAAUCAAGCCGAUACUAUUAGCGUCCAUCAAGACUAUUUAACACUUUUGACCUCGGAUCAAGUAGGGAUACCCGCUGAACUUAAGCAUAUCAAUAAGCGGAGGGAAGUCGGACUGGCCAAGGGGCACACCAGGGGGGGGGGAUA
rnacentral:rRNA from 1 species